GGGUUGUGAGGUUAAGCGACUAAGCGUACACGGUGGAUGCCCUGGCAGUCAGAGGCGAUGAAGGACGUGCUAAUCUGCGAAAAGCGUCGGUAAGGUGAUAUGAACCGUUAUAGCCGGCGAUGUCCGAAUGGGGAAACCCAGUAAUUCGUUGCACUAUCGUUAACUGAAUACAUAGGUUAACGAGGCGAACCGGGGGAACUGAAACAUCUAAGUACCCCGAGGAAAAGAAAUCAACCGAGAUUCCCCCAGUAGCGGCGAGCGAUCGGGGAGCAGCCCAGAGUCUGAAUCAGCUUGUGUGUUAGUGGAACGGUCUGGAAAGUCCGACGGUACAGGGUGAUAGUCCCGUACACCAAAAUGCACAGGUUGUGAACUCGAAGAGUAGGGCGGGACACGUGGUAUCCUGUCUGAAUAUGGGGGGACCAUCCUCCAAGGCUAAAUACUCCUGACUGACCGAUAGUGAACCAGUACCGUGAGGGAAAGGCGAAAAGAACCCCGGCGAGGGGAGUGAAAAAGAACCUGAAACCGUGUACGUACAAGCAGUGGGAGCACCUUCGGGUGUGACUGCGUACCUUUUGUAUAAUGGGUCAGCGACUUAUAUUCUGUAGCAAGGUUAACCGUAUAGGGGAGCCGCAGGGAAACCGAGUCUUAACUGGGCGUUAAGUUGCAGGGUAUAGACCCGAAACCCGGUGAUCUAGCCAUGGGCAGGUUGAAGGUUGGGUAACACUAACUGGAGGACCGAACCGACUAAUGUUGAAAAAUUAGCGGAUGACUUGUGGCUGGGGGUGAAAGGCCAAUCAAACCGGGAGAUAGCUGGUUCUCCCGAAAGCUAUUUAGGUAGCGCCUCGUGAAUUCAUCUUCGGGGGUAGAGCACUGUUUCGGCUAGGGGGUCAUCCCGACUUACCAACCCGAUGCAAACUACGAAUACCGAAGAAUGUUAUCACGGGAGACACACGGCGGGUGCUAACGUCCGUCGUGAAGAGGGAAACAACCCAGACCGCCAGCUAAGGUCCCAAAGUCAUGGUUAAGUGGGAAACGAUGUGGGAAGGCACAGACAGCGGGAUGUUGGCUUAGAAGCAGCCAUCAUUUAAAGAAAGCGUAAUAGCUCACUGGUCGAGUCGGCCUGCGCGGAAGAUGUAACGGGGCUAAACCAUGCACCGAAGCUGCGGCAGCGACACUAUGUGUUGUUGGGUAGGGGAGCGUUCUGUAAGCCUGCGAAGGUGUGCUGUGAGGCAUGCUGGAGGUAUCAGAAGUGCGAAUGCUGACAUAAGUAACGAUAAAGCGGGUGAAAAGCCCGCUCGCCGGAAGACCAAGGGUUCCUGUCCAACGUUAAUCGGGGCAGGGUGAGUCGACCCCUAAGGCGAGGCCGAAAGGCGUAGUCGAUGGGAAACAGGUUAAUAUUCCUGUACUUGGUGUUACUGCGAAGGGGGGACGGAGAAGGCUAUGUUAGCCGGGCGACGGUUGUCCCGGUUUAAGCAUGUAGGCUGGUUGUCCAGGCAAAUCCGGAUAAUCAAGGCUGAGGUGUGAUGACGAGGCACUACGGUGCUGAAGUAACAAAUGCCCUGCUUCCAGGAAAAGCCUCUAAGCAUCAGGUAACAUUAAAUCGUACCCCAAACCGACACAGGUGGUCAGGUAGAGAAUACCAAGGCGCUUGAGAGAACUCGGGUGAAGGAACUAGGCAAAAUGGUGCCGUAACUUCGGGAGAAGGCACGCUGGUGUGUAGGUGAAGUCCCUGCGGAUGGAGCUGAGACCAGUCGAAGAUACCAGCUGGCUGCAACUGUUUAUUAAAAACACAGCACUGUGCAAACACGAAAGUGGACGUAUACGGUGUGACGCCUGCCCGGUGCCGGAAGGUUAAUUGAUGGGGUUAUCCGUAAGGAGAAGCUCUUGAUCGAAGCCCCGGUAAACGGCGGCCGUAACUAUAACGGUCCUAAGGUAGCGAAAUUCCUUGUCGGGUAAGUUCCGACCUGCACGAAUGGCGUAAUGAUGGCGGGCUGUCUCCACCCGAGACUCAGUGAAAUUGAACUCGCUGUGAAGAUGCAGUGUACCCGCGGCAAGACGGAAAGACCCCGUGAACCUUUACUAUAGCUUGACACUGAACAUUGAGCCUUGAUGUGUAGGAUAGGUGGGAGGCUUUGAAGCGUGGACGCCAGUCUGCGUGGAGCCAACCUUGAAAUACCACCCUUUAAUGUUUGAUGUUCUAACGUUGGCCCCUUACCGGGGUUGCGGACAGUGUCUGGUGGGUAGUUUGACUGGGGCGGUCUCCUCCCAAAGCGUAACGGAGGAGCACGAAGGUUAGCUAAUCCUGGUCGGACAUCAGGAGGUUAGUGCAAUGGCAUAAGCUAGCUUGACUGCGAGCGUGACGGCGCGAGCAGGUGCGAAAGCAGGUCAUAGUGAUCCGGUGGUUCUGAAUGGAAGGGCCAUCGCUCAACGGAUAAAAGGUACUCCGGGGAUAACAGGCUGAUACCGCCCAAGAGUUCAUAUCGACGGCGGUGUUUGGCACCUCGAUGUCGGCUCAUCACAUCCUGGGGCUGAAGUAGGUCCCAAGGGUAUGGCUGUUCGCCAUUUAAAGUGGUACGCGAGCUGGGUUUAGAACGUCGUGAGACAGUUCGGUCCCUAUCUGCCGUGGGCGCUGGAGAAUUGAGGGGGGCUGCUCCUAGUACGAGAGGACCGGAGUGGACGCAUCACUGGUGUUCGGGUUGUCAUGCCAAUGGCACUGCCCGGUAGCUAAAUGCGGAAGAGAUAAGUGCUGAAAGCAUCUAAGCACGAAACUUGCCCCGAGAUGAGUUCUCCCUGAGACUUUAAGUCUCCUGAAGGAACGUUGAAGACGACGACGUUGAUAGGCCGGGUGUGUAAGCGCAGCGAUGCGUUGAGCUAACCGGUACUAAUGAACCGUGAGGCUUAACCUUACAACGCCGAAG
rnacentral:rRNA from 1 species